CCCUUAGAUGUCCUGGGCCGCACGCGCGCUACACUGACAUGUUCAACAAGCCUCCUAGUUCGACAGGAUUUGGGAAAUCUUUGAACGCAUGUCGUGAUAGGGAUAGAUCAUUGCAAUUAUUGAUCUUGAACGAGGAUUUCCUAGUAAACGCGAGUCAUCAGCUCGCAUUGAUUACGUCCCUGCCCUUUGUACACACCGCCCGUCGCACCUACCGAUUGAAUGUUUCGGUGAAGAUUCCGGAUAGGACUUUUUUGAUUUAUUUCAAUUCUGUCUUAAAAGCUAUCUAAACCUCAACAUUUAGAGGAAGGUGAAGUCGUAACA
rnacentral:rRNA from 1 species